rnacentral:rRNA from 1 species
GUGAGGAAUAUUGGUCAAUGGUCGGAAGACUGAACCAGCCAAGUAGCGUGCAGGACGACUGCCCUAUGGGUUGUAAACUGCUUUUAUGCGGGGAUAAAGUGGGGAACGUGUUCCCUUUUGCAGGUACCGCAUGAAUAAGGACCGGCUAAUUCCGUGCCAGCAGCCGCGGUAAUACGGAAGGUCCGGGCGUUAUCCGGAUUUAUUGGGUUUAAAGGGAGCGUAGGCUGGUAUUUAAGCGUGACGUGAAAUGUACGGGCUCAACCUGUGCCUUGCGUCGCGAACUGGGUCCCUUGAGUAAUCAGUAGGCGGGCGGAAUUCGUGGUGUAGCGGUGAAAUGCUUAGAUAUCACGAGGAACUCCGAUUGCGAAGGCAGCUCGCUGUUGUUUUACUGACGCUGAAGCUCGAAGGCGCGGGUAUCGAACAGG